rnacentral:rRNA from 1 species
UACGUAGGCAGCGAGCGUUUGUUCGGAGUUACUGGACGUAAAGAGUGCGUAGGCGGUUGGCUAAGUUUGGUGUGGAAUCUCCCGGCUCAACUGGGAGGGUGCGCCGAAAACUGGCUGGCUGGAGUGUGGGAGAGGCUAGCGGAAUUCCUGGUGUAGCGGUGAAAUGCGUAGAUAUCAGGAGGAACACCUGCGGUGUAGACGGCUGGCUGGACCACUACUGACGCUGAGGCACGAAAGCGUGGGGAGCAAACAGG